rnacentral:lncRNA from 1 species
CGGAAUUAAAUUCAAAUCAUCAUAAAGUCUUGGCACGUAGGCCUCAUUAAAACAUCUCAUAAAAAUUCAGUUAAACAUCAUAAAUGAACACGUAAAAGAAUGAAGCAUGAAUAACAUAAACCCCAUCCCGUUACGUAUCAGAGCGACCUAGAUGACUCGGUGAGGCAAGGCCAUUGACGACAGCAAACUGCACACUAAGCUCGAUCACCUGCAAGUUACUCAUACGAAGAGCAACAUUUCCAAGCAGAAGGGGUGAGAUUUCACAAAACAAUAAUAUUAAUCAAUAUAAUUCAACAAACGUAAUUAACAGCAUAAACAUCUUAAACAUCAUUGCAUCUUUGAUAAACAAUUAUCAAGUAAUCACUUCAUUCAAUCAUCAUCAAUAUCAUAACAUUUUAACAUCAUUUGACUCGACAAUGCAACAAUGCAACCUAAACCUCUUAUAUGCAUGUGGUACCAAUUCAGGGCAUGAGCCCCCAACAUUAUAGUAUUAAUAUACUUUCAGGGCAUAAGCCCCCAACAGUUUAUUUUAAGCAAAUGCUCCAUCAUGGUGAGUACAAAGCUCCAGGGCAUGAGCCCCCAACAAAUGUAUGCUAAUGCAUGGACUCAAUCAUCUAAAACAUCUUAAUCAUCAUCUCAUAUACAUCCAAUAAUUUGGAGUUCAACAUCAUCUUGUAUAGACUCAUGCAACUUAGUUAAAUAACGAAAGCAGCAUAAUCAGAUCACAACAACAUUAUAACUUCAUAAUAUCAAUUCAUUUUCAACAACAUCAUGAUCAUUCAAUAAUAUCUCAAGUAAUGCAUUUAAUCAUUAAAUCACAUUACAAACAACUUAGCAGUUUAAACAGCCUCACAGAUUUCAGUUAACAUCUUAAAUAUGUCUUACUACUACCUAAAGUUCCAUUCCUAAUCAAUUCAAGCAACUCAGGUCACAACAAUCUCAAUUGCACUCAGUUCUGGAAGUGCUCGCGAGGCGAGAGCAUCUUCUCGCCAUGACGAGUACAAGCCAUAUUUCCAACUCCAGUUGUUCGAAGCUAAACCAGGUUCAAUCUCGUUCUAAAUCAUCAUCUAAUCUUUAUUAAACAUCUUAAGGCACUCAAAAGCAUCUAAGGUUCAACUCAAAAGUCAAAAUUACGAAAUUCAACAUGCUCUCUGGUCAUGCUCGCUAUGGCGAGUAAGGUUGCUCGCUGUGGUGAGCUACGACUUGUAACUCGCAAGGCGAGGGGUAAUGGCUCGCGUGGCGAGCGAUGAACUUCAUCACUCGCGAGGUGAGGAUCAUCGUUCGCCAGGGCGAGCGAUGAAUACAGGCUCGGGCAGAAUUGCAGUUUUUACAAAAAUCCAUCUAAUCUCAUGGUUUAAAGCCUAAUUUUGAUUCCUGAAAUCAUCCUAUUCAUAAUCUAAGGUCAAAGGAUGGUUUUUACACCAAUUUAACAACCUAACAUCAUCGGAUCAUCAAAAUCACCAAUUAACCCUAAUUUCAUAACUUUUCUAAUUCAAUCCUAACUUUGUUAAUUGAUCAUCAGAAUUAUAAGGAUUAAUACUACUAAAUCAUUAGUCUCACCCUUACCUUGAAUGAAGAAAAUCGCAGCACUCUCUCUGGUCUUCUCCCUUCUCUGGCUUUUUCUCCCUUUUCUCCAAAAACAGUCGUACGUACAAAACGUUUUCUAAAACCUAGGUCUUUCCUUUUUAUAUCUCCUCCUAAUAUAUUAUCUUAUCUCACUUUCUCCCCCAAAACUCUCUAAAAUCUCAAAACAACCCUUAACUAAAUAUUUUAUUUUAUUUUCAAAUCUUAUUUUAUUAAACAAUAAAAUAAGUCUCAUAUCUCAUAAAAUCAUCAAAACUCAUAGCUCAUCUAAAAAUCAUCCAAAUCAUCUGAAAUCGUCAUAAAUCAUCAAAAUUCACAAAUAUAUUAUAUAAAUAUAAUAUAACUCGUCUAAACUUGAUUAAAUAAAAGUGGGCGUUACACUAAUUUCUACCAAUUUUCCCAAUCUCACCAAUGAACAAGACACUCGAUGAUUUUCACUCACCCAAUGUGUUUACAAUGUUUCCCAACCCAAGAGAACUCUAAUCAAAUAUCAUCAACCCUAAAGUUACCUCCUUUGAUUUCCCAAGUUUAUCUCUCUUCAAGCUCUCCUUCAAAAUCUGCAAAGAACACUUAUAUAGCAGUCUUCAGCUGUCAAAAUCGUGUCACGUUUUCCCAAAUCGUGACACGUUUGGUGCGUACGACCCAAGGUACGACCAAUCUUAUCCUGAAAACUUGCCCAGCAAGCUGAAAAUCGUGUCACGAUUGGGCACCCUGCAAAACAGCUCUCGACAUUGCAAAAUCGUGACAUGCUUCACAAAUCGGGUCACGAUUCCAAGUUUUCCUUUCUUCACAAAUUUGAAGAUAAAUACAACAUACACAAACAUUUAACAUGAAGACCCCUUUAAUACUUAAGGAAAAACCAUGAGACAAAGUUCAAAAAUAUUCCACUAUUUUAAAAUAUUGCACUACUCUCUCCACUGAUCUCUUUCACACUCAAGAGAAAUAAUAUAGUGUGACACACUCCUAUUCAAAUAGAACUUUUUUUCUUCCUCUCAAUAUCGAAGCUUUGUAUUUUCUUUGAGCUUCGGAUGCUUUGUUCCAUAUACCAAGACCUCUAAUCCUUUAUUUAUAAAUGAAAUGUGGCAAUGUGAAUUCAAUGCUUCUUUGUCAAAUAUUGUAGGAAGCUGAAUGUGAAAUCUGCAAGCUAUAACAAUAUCAGCACCGCAAGCUAUAACAUAG